UACGGGGGGGGCGAGCGUUGUUCGGAAUUACUGGGCGUAAAGGGUUUGUAGGUGGUCUGCUAAGUCAGACGUGAAAUCCCUCAGCUUAACUGGGGAACUGCGUCUGAUACUGGCGGACUUGAGGACAGGAGAGGAACGCGGAAUUCCAGGUGUAGCGGUGAAAUGCGUAGAUAUCUGGAGGAACACCGGUGGCGAAGGCGGCUUCCUGGACCGACACUGACGCUGAGGCGCGAAAGCCAGGGGAGCAAACGGG
rnacentral:rRNA from 1 species